UUAACCUUAUCUCUCUCUCUCUCUCUCUCUCUCUCUCUCCCUCUUGUUAGUUCUACUUCUAUCAGCCGCCUCCCCCUUACCCUCUCCAUCGCUGUCUUCUCUCAGCCCCGCUCUCUCUCUUUUCUCUUAGCCUCAACCACAGAUGCCUCCUCUCCACUUGACUCUCCCCUUCUUCUCUCUCGGCAACGGUGCUCUUCCUUUCCGAUGGAGCCAAAAGCAGAGUGGUGGUGGUGCGUGGCAUGGUUGGUGGUGCAACGGGGCUUGCCAACCCUCAACAUCAAUUGAGAGAUUGGCAGAGGCGUCUCCGCCAAGAAUGUCGCAACAUCGAACGCCUGAUUAUAGAGAUGUUCAGAGAGAGGAGAAGGGUGUGGAGAAAGCCAUUAAAAAGAGUGCCAAGAGAAAUGACAUGGGCUCAGCCAAGGUAAGGGCAAUGGCUGAGUCAACCAACCAUGAGUACGGAGAGCGUGAAGCGACGCGUACAUGGUUGGCCUGCCCGACUGCUUUGGUUGGGGGUUUAUUUGAAAAAUGGCUGUGCCAAGUCUAUCAAGGGUACUCUAUUGGAUGGCUCCUGAAGUCAUUAUCGAGAGUGCUCAUCUUGAGUCAUUGCCUUGACCGAGAGCUUCUAAAUUUCCCAAAGAAUUGUGCAACUAAGAAGACAUGGAAUCUGAAAACGUGUUCGAUAUAUAAUGUGCUCCCGAGGCUCCUGAGGCUCCUGCAAGCAAGAAGAAAGUGAGCAGGCGACAUCAUGGGGAAAGCAGUAAAGCGCCUCAGGCCAAGAAAACCCGUACUGCAAACCCUCCAGCAGACGUACCUUCAACAAAUGUUACACCACCUCGUUCUCCCCUCAAGCGGCAAACUCCGCCUGCUCCAGUCGGGUCAACACCUUCCCCACCAGCUCCAGCUGACCAGACUCAGCAGGCUGCCCCAGCUUCCACAGGGGGUGACAUAUUGAGCCGUGCCCUAAGAUCAGCCAAGGACAGGAUAGAAAUUUUUUUGAAGCAUGAACGUUGCCGAGAAGUGAUGGUUGGGACAGAGACGAUGGACGUCGAACAGAUCUUAACCCGCGCUCUAAACGAGCUCACAAGUGAGCCAUCAUCGAAUAGUCAUGGACUUUCGAGCAACGGCACGCGGAAGAACUCAAAGCUGCCGAAGCAAAAUAUGCGGAACAACUUGAGGUGGCUCAGAAGAAAAAUGCAGCACUACUCGAGGAGAAGAACAAGCUGGCGGAGUAGUUAAGGGAGAAGCAGACUACUCUGGACAAGGCCGUCGAGCAAAGAGACUAGUUCCAGGAGUCUAACCGCAUCAACUACCGCGAGGCUAAAAAACUUGAGGAGGACCUGAUUGCGAGUAGAUAAGAGACUACAAAGCUGGAAGGCCGGAUCGAGGAACUUGAAAAAGCCAACGCCAGCAAUUUGGAGAGGUACAAGAAUGCCAUGGUUAAGUGUUUCUAUGACUUCUGAAAACACAACCAGGAGGCCAACUUCUGCUAUCUUCCCGAGCGCACGAAGCAUGCUGAGAUAGCCCGCUGCGCUGCUCACCUGGCAAAAGAAGAGAGAGCAAGGAUACCUGCCUCACCUGAAAUCUCUUUGGCCACUGGCGUGGAAGGGACGGACAAUGAAGCUACAAUGGUGGUCGACCAGGACACCCCUCAAGAUCCUCCUGCCUCGUAGUUUGAUAUUUUUCUUUUAUUCUUUUAAAUACCCAACCUACGGGUCGUAAUGUAGAGACAAUAUAUUUUUUGAUUGCUGCGUGGGCAGCUACUUUUUCCUUUUAUCAAACAAUUACAUCCGAGCAGUAACUGCUCGUGGUGUAAAAGGUUCC